rnacentral:snoRNA from 1 species
AUAACUCUAAACCAUUAAAAAGUAUAAUUGGAGUGAUAUGUAAUCAGAAUAGCUUUAAUUUAUAGUUUUCUUAAUUUUAACUUUUCACAAGUAUAAAAUUAUCAAAUUGGCUACAAUG